UUCAGAGAGAGGCUGGCGGCGGCUCGGCGACAAGUGCUGCAUCCAGGAUGGGGCAGUGGUGAUGGAGUAGCACCCUUGGAUGAUUUUUAUUUGAAUUUUGUUCAUGUAUGGAGGAUUGUGUUGAUGAAUGAAUUUUGUUCAUGUAUGGAGGAUUGUGUUGGAUUUUGUUGGA